UAUAAUGUGCCUGAAAAAGGAUUACUAUGAUAGAGUAAAUUAUGUAAAUAUUAAUUUUACCAUUAUAU
rnacentral:tRNA from 1 species